rnacentral:rRNA from 1 species
GUUUAUGGCCAUGCUACCCUGACCAAGCCCAAUCCCGACUGAUAUUGGAAGCUAAGCAGGGUCGGGCCUGGUUAAUACUUGGAUGGGAGACCACUUCGGAAGACCAGGUGCUGUAGGCA